CCAAUAGCGUAUAUUAAAGUUGCUGCAGUUAAAAAGCUCGUAGUUGAAUUUCGGGACUAAUAUGUCGGUCGUGCCUCGGUACGUACUGGUAUUUUUGGUUUCUCCCUUCUGACGAACCUUGAUGUCAUUAAUUUGGUGUCUUGGGAAAUCAGGACUGUUACUUUGAAAAAAUUAGAGUGUUUAAAGCAGGCUCACGCUUGAAUACAUUAGCAUGGAAUAAUGAAAUAGGACGUUUGAUUCUAUUUUGUUGGUUUCUAGGAUCGACGUAAUGAUUAAUAGGGAUAGUUGGGGGCAUUAGUAUUAAAUUGUCAGAGGUUAAAUUCUUGGAUUUAUUGAAGACUAACUACUGCGAAAGCAUUUGCCAAGGAUGUUUUCAUUAAUCAAGAACGAAAGUUAGGGGAUCGAAGACGAUCAGAUACCGUCGUAGUCUUAACCAUAAACUAUGCCGACUAGGGAUCGGAUGAUGUUAAUUUUUUAAUGACUCAUUCGGCGCCUUACG
rnacentral:rRNA from 1 species